AUCCUCACCCUACCCCAUUGUGAUGCCUAUUCAUGAAGCACAUAUAUUUAGGUAAAUAUUAGAAUAGAAUAACAUUGGAAUGAAAUAAUGACAAAAUUAUCUCUUCACAUGUUUCAUAUUGAGACUCUUUUAUUUACAAUGAGUUCCUUAUUUCGUCGUUAUAGUUUAAGUGAUUUCACAUCACAUACUAUACCCUAACAACAAAGACAUAUUAUGCCACUUGGUUUCGGUACACAUUUCAUUGUCACGCAUCGUCGUCUUAUGGUUGUUGUGCCUUCAAUUUAGUUAAAACUAUGGGCUAUUGCUACAGACUGACAUUUUCCUCAAAAUCAAAACCACCGUUUAUUUGGCAGGUUAUGCAACUUCAUGUUGACUUCCUUCUAUUGAAAACCUCUCUUUCCAACGUAAUUUUUACGUAGCAAUACAUCCCCUUUGCUUAAUUAGUGACAAUAUUUGAAGUUACCCUACCUUGAUCAUCAUCAUCCCUUGCUUAAUUGGUGACGAUAUUGGAAGUAACCUUCAUCAUCUUCUUUGUGGUUUUUCUAGGAAUUCUUUAGGUGUCUUCGAGUUUGGAAGCAUACAAUCAUUUUUGUAAUAAUUAAAAAUUAAAAUUGUUACAAACUUCUAAAACACGGAAGGGUGAUUGAGUUGUCCUCGUGGAGUCAUGUGUCCAAUUGGUUAUAUAUACAAUCAUAUUAUAAUAGUCGUAUAUACGUAAACAUUUUUUAAAAAAAUAUGUACCACACUUUAAAAAUUCACAUAUGCAUUAAUUAAUUUACUUUUAACCUUAUCUUCUAAUAUAUUAUUAUAAAUUAAUUAAUAGUUAUUUUAAGAAAAACCAAUAAACAAUAUAACGCAAACUUGAAACAAAGAGUGAAUCAAGGAGAAUCUACAAAAUAAGUAGAGUAAUGUAUAAUUAAUACAGAAAAAAAAUUAACAAAUAAAAUUUAUCUCACCUUACCAAUGGAGAUUUUAUCUAUUGGAAAUGGUUGAUAUACUUACAAUUAGUUUUCGACACACAUCGAAUAUGAUUAUCUCCAAUUUAUGUGGCGGAAAAACUUAUCACACACGUUAGAAAAAGAAAAAAGUGUUUAUUUUUCUAGUUCCAUGAGUUUCUACAAGGUUUUUUUUACUUCACUAGCUAGUGAUGACUCGCAUGUGAGAUUUGCGAGUGCAACUUAACAUAUGUGAUUUUGAGACCACGAGAGAAGCAUAUAAUUUUUUUUUUUAAAGUACUAUAAAAUAAUAAUAAAAUUUGAACAUAUAUAUGAAAUGUGGUUGUAUCUUUCAGCAUGGAUUAGAACUUUGUUUGUCAUGUUUAUGAGAGUUUAAUCUCUUGCGCUAAAUUCAACCUUAUUGGUGAAUCUAGAUUUUUUUUUUUAUGUAUAUAUGUAUAUAUAUAUAUAUAUGAUGUUUCUAACCUAAUUAAGAGUUAUAUGUUGUAAUAAUAUUAUAUAAUUGUCUUUUUACUCCUUUUCGAUCUUGAGUUAUUUUGGGACGGGAAAAUAUCUUUAUUUUGGUUUUCAUAUAACUAUUCCCCCUUUUUUGUGAAUCCAAAGCAUUGCUUGAAAACUUUUAUUAUCAGCAUUGCUCGAAAGUUGAAACUAUUCCCGCUGGAUUCAAAGUUUUCAACUUCACUAAUUUCUUUGAAAAGAAAAUACUAUAAAACUUCACUGACAUGUUACGUUACAUUUGGAAGCCAGUCAUGUACCGUAAUAAUUGAAGAAAAAAUAUUAUCAGCCGACACUAAAUGCAUAAAAGGUUAAGACAUUACCGAUCCAUGUUUUGUCGUUGAACAAUUAGUCAAAUGUUAAUUGGUUUCAUUCAGAAUUAAGUGUAAAAAAUUUGAUGAUGAUAAUGAAAGAGACUUGAGUGUAUUACCCGACUAAAAUCCAUUUCGCUUUCUUCAUGUGCUCUAGAUCUACAAUUACCUGCUACACAUUCCAAUGGAUAAAUUCUGGUAAUUAUAAAUGUGAUUACUUAAAAUAUAUAUGGUGGCUUCUUAAACUAAAUUAUAUAAAUUGUUAUCGUUAAAAAGCGACUUUUAGAGUUUAUAGCAACAAUCGUAUCUAUUUGUUCACGGGUUUUUGGAUUAAGUUAGAUUUAGGCUAUUGGUCAUUUCAGUCCACUUAUAAAAAUGGAAGGAUGGAUAUUAUUUUAUUAAUUUACACCAUUCGGAGAAUUUCCUUAUUUUGUAUCAAGUCAAAUAAAAAUUAUAGCCUCAACUCUGGCAAAUUAUUUGCAACAUGUUACCCAAUAGUCUACAUUAUAUAUCUAUUAAAAAUCUUAAUAUCUUGUACAAACAUUGUGUAUAAAUCUUUAUUCGAUCAGUUAUAACAAAUUACAUAGACAUAUAGUGUGUUCGAUCGAGAAAAAUAAAUAAAAGAUUGGACAUGAUAACUACAUUUAUACUAUGUGAUUGUAAAACUACAUCAGGAACUAGAUAAACUUAGAGGGUAAAGGACACGAUAAAAAUUGAAAUUAUUAUCAUUUACUAAAUCAGAAUACAACUUUUUGCCUCAAAUACAAGUGAAUAAAAUACCCAAAUAGACUUUUAUCCACCAAGGAUCGUCGUCUAAGAUAAAAAAAAUUGUUCAAUAUAAUUAAAGUUAGUAAUGUGUCUUAUGUCUUAUUCCGUGUUCUUAUGUCCAAUACUUACAUUUUUAGAUAAUCAAACGUAUUCAUCCUGUUGAAGUACAUGGAGUCGAUACAAGUUAAGAACACAGUGGCUUGGGUUAGGUGAUAGAUGUACAAUCGUAUAGCUUAUAGGUCAAUUCUAACAUGUUUCUGAAAGUCAUUUUGUAUGGAGGUGUGUUAUUUGAACAAUCAUUUGAAUGAUAACUUUUGUGACAACCACUAAUUUACAAAGGAAAGUAGAUAGUGACACGGAAACCAAAGUAAUAGAGAGAUAAAGUAAAAAAAUAAUGUGAGUAUGAAAAAUAAAAUUGUCACAAAAUGGUUGUCAAAAUAUCAUUUCUCUUUUGUAUAACAUGCACAAAUAUUUAAAAGAUAAAUGAUAUUUGUAUAACCAUUUUUUUGACAACUUUUAGACAAUUUUCUCUCUCAUAUUCACGUUAUAUUCUUAACCUUUCUUUUCCUUUUUCUCUCUCCUUUGUUUUUAACCAAUAAAAAGAGAGGAAAAAAAAGUUGUCAAGAAAGUUGUUAGCAAAUAGUUGUUCAAAUAUCAUUGCUCGAGUUAAAAUCGUGCUCACUAAACACAAAUGAUUUUUGACGAAGUUUUGUGUAGGCACAAGCAUUUCGGCGCACAUACAUAAAUCAAAAAAAUUAAAAGAUAAAUAAAACAGUCACAUCAAUCAAUAUCAUUUUAAUCAUUUAGUUUUUAAUUUUUUUUUAACUUCAUGGAUGCGUACCUAAAUGUGAGGUGUUGGUCAUAUGACCAAAUAAGAGAUUUUCAUGAUUUUUUUACCAUAAGAUCAAAAAGUUAUAUCAUAUCUCAUUUUAUUACAUUUUUUCUUUAAUGGUGGGGUUUAUUGGUUUCUAAAAAUAUAUCAAUUACCACCCUUUGUUUUCAAAUUCUUUAACCCCGUCACUAAAAACAUAAAAGUAUUUGGAGUAGGUUUAUUUUGUGAAAACAUUUUAAGUUUUCUAGAAUUUAUAUUUUUAAGCAAAAGUGAAUUGCAAAAAUUUAAGCGAGAUUUUUUAUCACAAGUUUACAAUUAUGGUGAAAUCGAAGAACUUAACUACUUAGGUUGUAAACUAAGAACAUUUUAUUAACAAAGAACCAAAAACAGGCAUGAUGGAGUGCAUAGACCAAAAUCUAAAGAAAAAACAUCAAACAGAAAUAAAGGGAAACUAUGUCGAUUAUUAUAACAACAAUCCUCUAAAAUAAAUCUAGGUGGAAGAGUCCACCAAAUAUAACGUUUAGAUUAAAAACCAAAUCCCGCUAUAAAUAUGAGAGAUUACAAUUAAUUGCAUUUGAGAACACAAUGACAAAGCAUUGCGUUGUCUUUUUUUUUUUUUUUUUUUGUCAUUUAGCUUAAUGGCUAUAGAAAUUCACCUUAAAGAUGAAUAAUUGAAGUGUCAUGCAUCGUCUGUUUUUUAAUCUCCACGUGAUAGACCGAGAAUUCUAAAAAGACUUCACCGAUAAUGACGGUGGAGAUUAAAAAACGUUCAUAAUUGCGGCCAACAAAACAAUUUGUGACUAAUAAUUCUAACCUUUUUAAAGAAAAACACGAAGUAGACAAGAAAAAGGAUGUAUCAAUAUGACAAUCAAUGGAAGUCCAAAGUCAACUCUAAAUGUUAACAUCAAAUUGAUUAACGUUGUAACUUGUAACACCUCGUUUUUUCAACUUAAAAAUUUCACAUAUAAAUUAAAGUAUUUCAACAUAAACAGAAUGUCACACUUCUUUUCAUAAAAUCAUAAACAGAAUAAAAUAACUAUUUAUCCUUCAAAUUCAACAGCAUAUCAUUUAUUACAUCGCAACGGAAUGUAUUCAACAUUUAAACAUCUUUUGCACCAAGGCCUCAACAUAAAAUCUCUUAAAGUUAUUCCAACAACAUGUUCAUGAAAGUUCAUAAAAUAAUACGUAAGGAAUAGAAAGCAACAACAAAAUUCUCAUCCCGUUACGUAUCAGGGCACCUAAGACACACGUGAGAGAUAGUCCACUCACGACAACAACUAACAGCAACUAUUCUCGAUCACCUGCAGGUUACCCAUAUGAAGGGUAACAAUUCCAAGCAGAAGGGGUGAGAUUUCAUAUUCAAAUAAUAAUAAGCAUAUAAUUCAUUAAAUGCAUUUAACAACUUAAACUUCAUCAAUUAAUAACAUUAACUCUUCUUAUAAUACUUCGUUAAUAACUCAAUCAAUUUCUAAUCAUCAUUAACUUCAUAUUCAUCACAUUAUAUACAACAUCAUAUAGCACAUAAUAAUCAGAUCAUAAACAUCAUCAUAUAACGACAUAAUCAUCACAUCAUAAACAUCAUCUUAUAACAAGAUAAACGAUACAUCAUAAACAUCAUCUUAUAACAGCAUAAACAACACAUCAUAAACAUCAUCUCAUAACGACAUAAACAACAACGAUUAAUAAAUAUUAAUACUUCACUUAGUUCUUUAUUAACAACUCAUUGACAAAUGACAACUUAACGACAACGACAAUGCGACUUCUACAUCUUAAACUCAACAUAUGCAACUUCAACUUCUUAAUCAUGCAUGUGGUACCAACCAGAGCAUCAAGCCCUCAACAUAAAGAGCAUAAAUACACUCACAGGGCAUCAAGCCCUCAACAUAAGAGCAAAAGCUCACAGAGCAUCAAGCCCUCAACUUCAAAUGAUUAUGCAUGGACUCAAAAACGUACAACUUAGACAAAUUCACAACUUAUAUGAUCCAAUAUCUUGGAAUAACAACUUACAACUUUACAACUUAGACCAACACUUGCAACUUAAUGACAAUAAUGGUUCAACAACAACAGAAACAGCAACAUAAACAUCUUGCAACAUAGCAACAUCAAUAAUAACAAUUUGAAUGAUAUAAACAAUAAUAAUUUCUAUAUCAUACAUUUUCAACACCUUAUAUAAAUAUCUUAAAUUAACCAACAAUCAUUAAUCAUUUGAUUCAGGCUCUCUUUAACUCUAUAACUUAAUAACAACUUCCAUUCUUAUCCAAAGAUCAACUCAAAACAUAGGUUAAAUACUCUUAAACAUCUUAAUUGAACUCAUAGUACUUCUAGUUUUGAGGUUUUGAAUUAUCCCAUAAGUUUUGGAUUAACUUAGAAAUGGUUAUGCUGAAUUUUCAUAAGAUUUCACUAAGACCUCUCUGGAGUAUUUUUUAUCAUAUCUCAAAAACCAAAAAUCAUUUUCAAAUCAAACCAAAGCCAUUGAAAAGCUAAUAAAAUUAUCUAAAACUUUCAUGUUUACAACUAGACACAGUUCAAAGCGGAAAGGGGUGAAAAAUAGUAAAAUAAGAAGGAUCUGAUUCACAAAAAUCGUGCCACGUUUUUAUGCCCAGAACCAUUGAACUUUCGGCCAACAAAAUUGUGCCACGCUUGCAAAAUCGUGACACGUUUUGACAGCAUCAGGUCCAGAAAUCUGCUUUUCAAAAAGUGCAAUUUUCACCAUUUCGCGCGUAAAAUUCAAACCGUUAAUCGGAUUUUGAUGCCGUUUUCGCCUACACGCUCCUGAAACUUGGCUCUAUCAUAAUCUACAGCUAUUUCAAGUCUCAACCAUCCCAAGAAUCAUUUUCCAAAACCUCACAUAAUCCCUUAUUUGCAAAAACGUUUAGACACCGACUUUUCAAGCGAAAAUCUCAAUUUUCAUCAACUCAACCCCAAAACUGGUUCUAAUCAUUGUACUGUGAAUAAUCUAAGGUCUGAACAUCGUUUCUUCAUUAAUUCAACAGGUUUCUAUCAUCUAAUCAACCAAUUACAACUUUUAACCCUAAUUUCCCAAAUUCCCAAAACUACAACCUACAACAUGUUAAAUCCAAUUUUCAGAAUUAUACAACUUAUAAUUAAAGAAUGUUAUCAUUCUAGGUUCUUCUCUUCUAUUGUUUUCUCCCUUUUUCUCCAAAAACUUGUUUUACGCGAUCCUUAUUUUCUAAUUCUAACUCUCCCCUUUUAUAUAAAUCCUUAACCUACUUAUUUUCUCUUAUUUCCAAAUCUACCCCCAAAGUCUCAAUAUUCUAUUCUAAUAUAUAUGUAUAAUAAAAUACUUCUAUAACAAAUAACAAAUAUAUCUCUAUAACAAAUAUAUUUAUGUACCAGAUAACAUAUAUAUUUCUUCACCAAAUUAGAUAUAUAUUUCUACACCAAAUAACAUAUAUAUUAUACUAAUAAAUACCAACAUAUAACAUAACAAAAUAUCACUCAUCAAAAUAAAUCGACUAAAUUAUAAAAAGACAUCUAAAUUCAAUAAAAUAAAUAAAUAUUAAAAUAGGGCGUUACAAACGUGCUUUCUAUCAUCGAUGAACCAGAGCAAAAUUACCAUUAGAUUCAAUCAAUGGUCAUGAUUUAUACAAAAUAAAAAUAAGAACAUUUAAGAAUUGCCUCGCACAAUCUUGCCCCUAUUAAACUUUUUUAUUUUUGGUAUUCAUCAUCUUCAACCUCCAUUCCAAUUUUUUCGUAAUAAAAAAAAAAAAAAAAACUCCAUUUCAAUUUAGGAGCAAUGCUACAAAAGAGAAUUUGCACAAAAAAUUGAGUGUGUCUUCAAAAGUUUACGGGGUUUGCUAAAAAUCUAGUUUAUGGGUUCAAUUGGAGGUGGUGACUAAUGAAAUUGGAGGUUUAACUCAUCCUUAAAAACCAGUUCAUAAGGUGAGUCACGCCCAGCACUCUUUGGGCUUACGUGAAUCGGUAGGUAUUUGGGCUUACGUGAAUCGAUAGGUAACUCUUGAAUUCGACAGGUUCUGAUACCAUAAUGAAAUUGGAGGCCUAACUCAUCCUUAAAAACUAAUUCAUAAGGUGAGAAUUGUCUCCUCUAUAUUAACUCUUAUCAAGAGUCUUAUCUUUUCGAUGUGGAACAUGAGUUUUUUUCAAUAAUGACCUUUAAAGUUUAAACACGCGGCAUCUUUGAAUUCUACAUAGAAAAAAAAAAUAGAAUUAUAGCGUGUUAUGUUUGUUUCUCUAGAGCAUGAGACAUUUCAUUGUUCAGUUUAUGUUGUCAUGGAAAGGCAUAUGAGUGAUGGGUGUACAUCAUCGAUCGGUGGUUUGAUUCUCGUGAAUAGAACAAAAAAAAUCUGAGCUCAAUGGUACAAAUCCUUACGAUGAAAGGUGAGAUAUAGUAGGAUUGUGUGUGGAUAGUUGUAAAUGUUAUCUUUUUUAAUUCUAGUAGAUCAAAAUUGUUAAUCUCAUUUCAUGGUAAAAAUUAAAUAGUCCAUUUGUGAGGGACUCAAUAGCUCCUUCACCUUAGACGUCACCCUUAAUUAAUAAGAAACUAACGGCGAGGGACUCAACUCCCUCACCUUAGACGUCACCAUUGAUUAAUAAGAAACUAACGAUUGAAGUAAAUAAACGAGAAAGAAACUCAAACUUCUUUCUAAACUUUCUUUCUCUUUCGUUCAUCAAGGAGGGGUGGUUUUUGACCUAGAAUCACCCCUCUACAUCUUUUUUCCCAUUUUCUUUCAAUCUAAAUAAGUGGUUUUCACAUACAAGUGUUUCCUUUUGUGUUUUUUGUGAUUUUGUCGUCUAAGUACAACGCUGUGUUGGUCGUCGUCUUGUGCGGCGUUUGAUUUCACGUCUUGUCGCGGCGUUCGUUUAGUUUCUAUUGAAAGAUUGACAUCGGUCAAUUAUAAAUCCAAUCAAUGAUUUGGGUGUGAAUGUUGCCGAUCUAGAAACAUGAGUAUUUCGGUGACUUAGAUUUAAUCAUAUUAGUUGUAGCAUUUUGUCAUUUUAUGUUAUUAACUUGGGUGCUGUGAGUUUGUUCGCAGUUUUACCCUUUACGUUUCUAGCGAUUUUUGUAUCUGAUGUACUCUAUCAAUCUGAAUGAAUGAAUAUCGUUUUGUUUUUAUUAAAAAAAAAAAAUAAAAAAAAAACUAACGGUUAAAAGUUUGCUCUACAUGCCUACAAUGAUAAUAAAUAGAGAUAAUUUACUACAACUUUUAAAACAAUGAUGCUCAUUUAUAGGAACUUUACCAUAAAUAAGUCUCCAAAGAAAAAAUGAUUUGGAUUGAGGAAUUGAAGGUUUCCAAAUAAGCUAUGUCCAUGAUUGAUCAUAUGCAGAAACUUGACAAAAACUAUCAGCAUCCUAAACUGAAAGAGAACCUGAUGAAGAACCCUUCUAAGCAAGAUAUUCAGUGGAAAACUAUACCCCGAUAUUUAUCAAAUUUCAUAUUUCACCAAUUCAACUCUCUCUAUCAAUAGUAUAUAUAUAAAGUAAGAUUUUUUAUGACACGUGUCACUUCCACGUUUAUUCGCAAUAUUUUUAUUUUUUUUCUAAUUUUUCAAAACCAAUAUUUAAUUUGGCAUAAAUAUCUCAACAAACUUUUGAUCUUAUCUAUUAAAUAUUUUACUUAACUAUUUAUUGAAUUCCUAAUAUUUUAUGUAAUAGAAAUAUCUCAACAAAAUUACAUACGAUACCCUUCAAUUAAAAAUCAUCAAUCAAUCAAUAGUAUAUAUAGUAAGGUUUCUUAUGCCACGUGUCACUUUCAUGUUUAUUCGCAAUAUUUUUAUUAUUUUUAUAUUUUUUAAAAUCAAUAUUUAAUUUUGUAAAAAAAAAAUCAAUAUUUAAUUUGGCAUAAAUAUUUCAACAAAAUUUUAACCUUAGGGAUGGCAAUGGGUACCCUAUCCCAAUGGAUAGGGUACUAUAGUACCCUAUCCAUUGGGUACUCAUUGCCAUAAAUGUAUUGGUCUAUUCUCCACUAUCAUAAAUAUAAAGUGAAAUAUAUUGAAUUGGAAAUGAUGAAAGUAGUAUUAAUUAGAGUUAUAAUUGAAAAAAAAAGUAAUUAAUAAUUGUAUUGAAAAGUUAAAUGCAUCAAGAUUUUUGAGACAAUAUUUUUUACAAAUAACUUAGUUAUUAUGGGACGGAGGGAGUAACACUUUAACAUGACAAUGAAAAGUAAAUUUAAGAAUUAAAAUGCAAGAAAUGAAGAGAAUGUUUCUCUAACACAAAACUAUUUUUUUUUUCUCUUUCACUUAUACACUUUUUUAAUGUGUAAAAUAAAAAAUAAAAAAAACUUAUGUAUAAUGAGACGGAGGGAGUAGUUAGUAAGAACAAAGUCGUCAAGGAACCAAUUAACUCUUGAUUUCACUUCCCAAAAACGUCUUGAUAGUGCUAUACUCCCUCCGUCCCAAAUUAUAAGCAAAAAAACAAAAAUCACACUUAUUAAGAAAACUAAAACAUAAAAAUUUGGAGUAUAGUUUUUUGUGUUUUCGUUGGAAAAAGUUUUAUAGGAAGAUGUAAAAACAAUUUUCAUUGGCUAUUGAUUAUGGAAAAAAUGAAAGAAAGAGAAAAUUGAAUGUAAUUUGCAUUUAAUUUUAUGAGAAUAACAAAAAAAAAUCUUGGAAAAGAUUAAAAUUUGUCUUUUUUCCUUAUAUUUUGGGACAAAGAAAAUGAAUUUCUUUUGCUUAUAUUAUGGAACGGAGGGAGUACUUGGUUAAGCUGGAUUGAGCAUUCAAUUCUAAUUUAAGGGCCUUUAAUUUACCUUAAAGAAUAAACAUAGGACAACCAACCACAUAAUUAUUUAUACCAAACAUUUUCCACCACGUGGGUGAUAUCUGGAAGAUGAGAGUCCAUUUAAGUGAGUCAAUGUGACGAAAAAAAAGAUAAAAUGGCAAUUUUAGGAUCGUAAAUUUCUGAAAAUAAUGGAAGUAGUAAUUCUUUUAACGUUUUCAUUGUUUUAAAAAAAUUAUCCAAUCAUAUUUUAUAUGCAAUUUUUGUUUUUUAGAUUAAUUAAACAAUAAAUUUUGUUAACCAGUGUCCUAAGGGUGAUGAUUAAGGAAUUCAAAUGUAAAAGUUUUGUCUUGUAAUUGUAGGAUGUUACAUUUGAUCAAGUAAUGAUUAUACUACUUUUUAUUAAAAACUUACUUGAUUUAGUUGUUUAACCAGUGUGAACACUAGUUAACAUUCUCCUUAAAUAAUUGAUGUUUCUGAAAUAUAAUAUAUAUAUAUAUAUAUAUAUAGCUCAGAUACAUCACUUAUUUAAUGAAGAGUUUUUUUUUUUUCCUUCUCUUAAUUAACGAAUAAAACUAACACUUAUAUAUCUACCAAAAAAAAAAAAAAACUAACACUUAUAUAAUAUAGUUCGGAUACAAUAUAUUUAUAUAAUAUAAUCCGGAUACAUCACUUAUAUAAUCAACAUUGCUAUUUACCGCGACAAGUUUUGUCCCGAAUGCAUCAAGAAUGAAAAUAAGCCAAUUAAAAACAGCUGUUAGUGGAAAUCAUGGGAGGUGGGGGAGAAAAAGAUGGAAAUCAUAAACUAAUGGAUGGAUGGCAUACAUGCCACAUGUGUCUGGAAAAUCUCGGGACAGUUUUAUUUCGUGUGAAAUAGCAUUUUUCCUUAUAUAAUAUAGUCCAGGUACAAGGCAACUAUCACCGGAUGAGGUUUUAUCUUUUUAUUAAUGAAUAAAACUUUUUUUAAGAAGCUAAAUGCAAAAUAUAUUAAAAACCAAAUUAGUUAAGCACAAGAUGUGCCAAACGAAAAACUGUGUAUAACGUCAAAGUAACAAACUCGAUAAAGAAAGAAACCACAAAUAAUAAAAAUCAAAAGCGAAAUUCAGUUUAUGUGUCUUUAGCCACCACAAAAAAUGAAAUUUAAUAUUGUCGAGAAGUUGAUCCUUAGAAGACACGUUGUUAUUGAAAUUUCUCGAGUUUCUCUCCUUCCAAAUUCUCUCCUUCGAAAUAACUCAAAGACAUGUCAGCACACCACUUUAAAACAAGAGCUAAUGUCCUUCCUGAAAGCAUGCGCGCCAAAAAAUUGUUGUGCGUGACAACCAAUAUUUGAUGGAACGACGGUAGUUUUACCCUACCAGAUCAACAAACACCCUACCAGAUCAACAAACAGGGAAAAUAAAUAAAAAAUAUUUUUGCAAAGUAAUUAAACGGAUUCUAAUGUUUAAUAGGAACCGAUCGAGGACAACAUAGAAAUCAUGCUGGAAUUUGAAGAAGAAAUACAAACCUAAUUAAAGAGAGGGGCUAAGUAUUUCCAAGCUGGAACUUGAAAAAGAAAAACCAUGCUCUAAUUAAGUAACUAAGUAAGGUAGUACAUUACAACAAUUGAGAUAAGUACGACACAUUAUGAUGAUUAUGACUUAUGAGCUGUUAAAUGAUGUUGUAGGAUUACUUUUUUCUUGUCAAAAAUAAAUAAAUGAUGUUGUAGGAGAAACAUUAUUAUAAACAUUAUUAUAACUUACAAGGACUAAUGUUUAAAAAAAAAAACUUACAAGGACUAAUAAUGAGACAGAACGAAAGUGUACGUGAGUGUAGGAGACACGUUAUUAUAACAUUUUAUAAAUAUUUAAACGUUGAUAAUAAUUUUGUCGAUCUAUAAACCACUACCAAUUCCUAGUUAAAUAUAUAAUAAUUUUUAUUAUAUUUGUUAGUUGAUGGUAAAAGAUGAAUAUAAUUUGUUACUAUAUUUUUUUUUGACAAAAUAAUUUGUUGCUAUUUAAAAUUCAUAAAUAUAGUCUAUACAUAUAAUUUUAAUAAAAAUAAAAAUUCACCCAAAAAAAAAUCAAAAAUUUCAUAAAAAAAUAAAUAUUGUUUAUAAUUCACGAGCGUUGUCGCAGUACAAAAAUGGAUAGAUGGAUACCCAGUACUAGUAAUUAAUGAAGUUAAUUGGUAAAAUUUCACUCUUACUGGUGGUUGAUGGUAGGGGUGUUUACGGUGCGGUUUGGUUCGGUUUUGAGAGAAAAAGUCAUCCAAACCGCAAGAUAAAAAAACAUGCGGUUUGUGUAACACCCACAGCUGACGAGGGCAGGGGAGUGGUCACCGGUGCACAAGGCACGCCAAUGAGCGGCUCCCGACAGCUUCUAGAGGAACCGAAUCACAUCUGAAUGAGAGGGAUCCUGAGGCCGUGUAGGUGUGGGACUACAUGAAUGAAGGAAUGCUUAUAAGAAUUGUUUGGUAAUACCUAUAUCAACAAGGUGCAUCUUCUUUUUGGUACCCUAUUCCAUAAGAACUCCACAGUUAAGCGUGCUUGACUUGGAGUAGUCUUUGGAUGGGUGACCUACCGGGAUUCCCGAUAAGCAUGCGAGUGAGGACAAAACACGCUGAAAAGACUCGUGUUGGUUUGUAGGGUCAGUCGACAAUGCUUAAAGUCGUCUGGGAUGUUACAGUUUGGUUUGGUUCGGUUGGCUUUAAAAUAAAAUCCGAACCAAACCAAACCAAUAUGGUUUGGGUUGUAUCGGUUGGUGCGGUUUUUUUCGUGACGAUACGAUUUUUUGUUUCCAACAUUAAAAUCAAGAUAAAAAGCUGAAACACAAUAUAUUUUCAACAAUGUUUUAAAUUUCAUCAAACAUUACAAUUUCAUUUUCAUUACAAUGUUUCCAACAACAUAAACCAAAUUAAAAACGCGGACAAAAAGUAAUCUUAUUUUGUAAGAAAUGCAAAAGACUGAGAUGUUCUCAUUCUCUAAAAGUUAAGUAGCACAUAAAUACAUUUUUAAAUAAAAAGCAAAUAAUGAACUUAACAAGAGAAAAAAAAUAUGACAUUUUAUAAAAGUUUUCAUUGAGUUUCUAUGAGUAUUGGUCUUGAUGACAUAUGUUUAAUUAACAUUUUUCUUAUGUUAUGGUUUGGUUUGGUUUUGUAUCUAUUUGACAGUCUCUUUGUACUUUGAGCGACCUCUUUAGUACGCCUUAUGCUAAAGAGGUGUCUCUCUUAUUGUGAAUAUAUAUCAUUUUACCUUCUUAAAAAAAAGUUAAUUGGUAAAAAAAAAAAAAAUUUCUCUCUUGAUUUAUAUGAAAUGACAUUUUUUUUUGGAACAUGGAGGGUAUUGAUUUUUACACCUUUUCAAAAGCCACUCAAGGAUGAAUAUAGAUUUUUCAUGCAUCAAACACAAGAAUCAUUAGCAUAACAUGCUUUGGAAAACACACACAUAUACUUAAAUUAAUGGUUGGAGUAUCAAAUUUAAAAAUAUUGUUGUCAAUACAUACCCCGUCAAUCCUCCUUUUUUACCCAAUAAACAUUGAAAUGUUGCUUCUUUCGUUAAGCAUAAAAACAUCAAAGUCUAGCAAAAUGUUGUUUUUGCGAUGACACAUUUCAUAUAGUUUAAAGGAUGCAUGAUUCGAUUACAAAAACAAAAUACUAAUAAUUCUAGCACAAAGUUUAAAGCUAAGAUUAUAAAGCUUCAUAGCAUGUGGAUAUUCAUUUAGAAAUAUAGGAUUAGGAUUGCCCCUUUCAUCACGGGUCUAAUAGCACCACUUGUCACUACAUGUUAAAAAUGUCCUCUAGUACAACACCGCUUUUUACUUGAUUCCCCUUGUCCAUGAAAAAAUCAAACAAUAUUUGGACACAAAAAUUUGCCCCCACUUUCCUUUUUCUUCUGCCCUAGUUUGUUUGAAAACUCAUAUUGAUCAAAUUUGGCUAUGAAUUCAAACAAAAAAUUCACUCUGCCCAUUGCAUGUGUGGGACCCACAUAUAAAUCCAUGAAGGAUUUCAAUGUCCAUCCAAGUCAAUGAUUCAACAUAUAACAUUGAAUAAUUUAAUUCCAAUUUGCAGUAUUAUGAUUUAGAUUGAUUGCUGCAAUACGGUCCGUGAAUGUAACUCACGAGAAAGAGGUAUCAAGGUAUUUUAUUUUAUUUUUAACAAAUAAAAUUUCAAGGUCUUGUUCACCAUAUAAACCUCCUCACUCUCACUCAAUUCUCUUAAGUGUAUGACUUCAUAGUAAACUACACUACUUUCUUUAAAACAUGGCUAACUAUGCUAUAGCCAAUGUUUUGAUCCUUCUCUUGAACUUGAGUACCUUACUCAAUGUUCUUGCUUGCCCUUAUUGUCCUUACCCAAGCCCUAAACCACCUUCACACCACCCUCCUAUUGUUAAGCCACCAGUUCACAAACCACCAAAGCAUUCUCCUACUCCUAAACCACCAGUUCAUAAACCACCAAGAUAUCCUCCUAAACCAUCACCUUGUCCACCCCCAUCAUCAACACCAAAACCACCUCAUCAUCCCAAACCCCCAGCAGUACACCCACCACAUGUUCCAAAACCACAUCCACCUUAUGUUCCAAAACCACCAAUUGUUAAACCUCCAAUAGUACAUCCACCUUACGUACCAAAACCCCCAGUUGUGAAACCACCACCAUAUGUCCCUAAACCACCUGUUGUGAGACCACCCUAUGUUCCUAAACCACCAGUUGUACCUGUAACACCACCUUAUGUUCCUAAGCCACCAAUUGUUUUCCCACCACAUGUUCCUCUACCUCCAGUUGUACCAUCACCACCACCUUAUGUACCAACACCUCCAAUUGUGAAACCACCAAUUGUUUUUCCACCACAUGUUCCUCUACCUCCAGUUGUGCCUGUAACACCACCUUAUGUGCAACCACCACCUAUUGUAACUCCACCAACACCAACACCUCCAAUUGUGACACCACCAACACCACCUAGUGAAACACCUUGUCCUCCACCACCACUUGUACCUUAUCCACCACCACCAGCACAACAAACAUGUUCCAUUGAUGCUUUGAAGUUGGGUGCAUGUGUUGAUGUGCUUGGUGGACUCAUACAUAUUGGUAUAGGUGGAAGUG
rnacentral:lncRNA from 1 species